AUGUCCACCUUUGAGCACUCCCGAGGCCGUUCUAUUUGCAUGUCAAAACUGGAAUCCACACCCUCCAUCUGUAGACUGCUUGUCAUGUUGGGACAACUCCUGGUCUUUGUUUGCGCUGGCAGACAGAAGAGUCUUCAAAUUUUGAACUGAACACAUUUAUUUAUGUCUCCAAGUGGAAUAUUUUGCAAGCAGGCAAGAAAAUUCUCUGGAAAUCCCCAUUCUCAGUAUGCUCUCAGGCUCUUGAACACUGCAUUUAUUGCCUGAAAGAGCCGCUGCUUAUCUCUGAUGCAUCCUAUUGCUACCAAGACUCAUCUGCCGCAUGUUACUGAGCUCCCACGCUCCACAUCUGCCAAGUUAAGUGCUUGCUCUCCUUUUGCUCAUACGAACUGCUGCACACUGAACUCUGCUUGGAAUAUUAUACAGACUGAACUGUGAAGUAUUCCUGAUAAAGAACGACUAGAAGAAACUGAACUGAUUCAUUCUGUCUAACUGCCUGCUUAUCUGGACCAGCAGUGAUCAGUUAUCACUGAGUCAAACUGAACUGUGAACUUUUCCUGAUAAAGAACAACUCGAAGAAACUGAAUUGAAUCAUUCUGCCUAACUGCCUGCAUAUCUUGACCAGCUGUGAUAGUUAUCACUGAUUGACUGUGUGAACCGCUUCUGGAAGUGACUGGCUCAGCAUUCACCCAUCUGUGUCUCUUUCCCAGCCUCGUCGACAGCUUGUGGCAGCCACUUGGCUCCAAACCCACAACUCCAGUACCAAAGUUGCCGGGACUGCGGAUCCCCUGGUUCCACCACCGUGCGGGCCCAUCUCCACUCGGCUAGACUACGCCCCUGCAUAUCAUUUUUCCUCUGUAUAUUAAUCCAUUGUAAAUAAAUCCAUUUUCUCAUGUCCAUUCCCUGCUCCCUGCCUUUGGGUUUGUCCUCCAUGCUCGUCCGAACCGUAACAGUUCGGGUGGAACUGAACCGUUGAAGGCAAUGGACCCAAAUGCAGGGAGCUGGACAUGGAGAAGAAUAAAAAGGAAAAUAUAUUUAUUUUUAAUAAAUAAAGGUGCUGCGCUGCGGUGCCCGCAGUCUGGAGAGAUGGCCCGCCUCCUGGCGGUGAAAUGAGGGAGCUGCAGGAUCCUGAGCCAGUCUUGAAGGAUAAUAUCAACUAUGGUUUCAGGGUUCAGGACCAGGUGGAAUGCUUGCCUCUGAGACCAGGAACUAUGGGGAAUAAAGACACACAGGCUCUGUCCACGUAAAAUGAACGCUAGACCAAGGUGUACCUGGCGAUGUCUUGGCAGGAUCAAGAUCAUUACGCAACACAACACUUUCAAGUCCAGGCAGGUGAAGUGCUGGUACACCGGUUCAAAGGGUGUGGCCAGCUCAUGGUUACUUGUCCUUCAUGUUCACAAAGUUGAAUCCUUUUUGUACAAUUUGUACAAUUGCAUUGAAACACUGAAUAGAACACAAUGUUUUUUCUGUCUCCCUGCUAUGAGCCUUGUUUGGUGUCAUUGUUGAGGUUGUUGCACUGAUCUGUAUUAUAAAGGCUGGAUAAAAGUAUAUGGGUACCAAAAUCCAAGCGGUAAACCUCAAUCCCAUAUUUUGACCCCAACCUGGAUGUGUAGUUCCUUGACUGGUUGUUUGAGGGGGACCAGCACAUUCCCACAGCACUCCGUGAUAAAAUGUCCACAUUUAGAGCAGAAAUUAAUGUUUACAUACUGGUGUUGUGCUCCAGCUGUCUACCUCACUGGAGUCCCUUGACUGAGGAGAGUAACGUCGACUCAGAACAUGGCGCCAUUUUGGGUCCAACUGCGUUGAACUACUGAAUGAACCUUUUAUGUUUUCAACAUUUUUUAAAAUUGUUUAAUCACAUACAGCAACACACCCAGGUAUAGGUGCUAUCAAAAUAAAUAUGAAAGUAGUUAAGCUAUCAAAUUUACAUAAACUUAAAAUUUAUGAUUUUAUUAAUUUAUAGCCUGAUUUAAACUUCUGCAGUUCUGUAACUCCAUGUCUGUAACUCCAGUAAUGUGUGUGACAGUUGCAAGUUACAAAACUAUUCAAAUAUGAUGGCAGAUGAAGGAGUGAAUGCAGAAAAGUGUCAAAUCACAGCCUUUGGUGUCUGAGUUAACAGGUGCACGUCAGACUGCAGGUCAGAGUCUGAGCACAGUUUGAAAAAAUAAAAGGUCGGGCUUUUAAUCACGGAAAUGACUCCGGUCCCACAUGCUCUGGAUUUUUAACGGAAAUACAGUAUGAUCGGACAGGACAUUUUAUCUGAUGUGACCAAAAAAUACGUUAUACAAAAUCUGUUAUAUACUGUGUUUAUUACAUGGGAAACAAUACAAAAACUUUGAGACUUUUUUUGUCUGAUAAGUGUGAAUAUUCGGUUUAGGUGAGUUUUAUUGGACAUGGGACUGAACACGAAAUUUACCUCUCAAAACUUUGAUGAUGAUGUCGGUUUCCAUCCCACAUGGCUGACUUUAUUUUCCCAAAAUUUUCUUCA